CUUUGGGGGUGUAACUAUCUCAAAUUUUAAUUUUGGGAACUUUGGGGGUGUAAUCAAUUUAGAUUUUAAAUUUGGGAACAUGGGUAUUAGAAUAUUGUGUUUUGUUUGUAAUUGUUUAUGUAUAAUUUUGUCCGCAGCUGAUAAAAACCAUGUUGAAAAGCCAAUACAUUACAAUAAUAUGCAAAAAGCCCCAUUGCGAUAGGGACGGGACGGGAUGAAGUCUAUCCCGUCCCGAAUGCCGUUCCGAAAGCACUUCGGGAUGAACAGAAAUGUCCCAUCCCGUCCCGAUAGCUCAUCCCGUCUGGCGGGACGGGAUUAUCACGUCCCGUGGGAAGGCCGCCGUAUGAUUAAGUUACUUAAUCAUACUUAAUUUAAGUAUCUACUUUAGUGGACAGAAAUAAUGGUACGAUUAAAAAUUUCUCUAGUUCACAUUUUAGUGGCAAACAUAAUUUUAAACUUUUUACAGCAGCAGCCAAAACAUUAUAUUGUCCAAGGGUUGCAUUUUUUAAGAAGGUUUGGAAUUUUUUAAUCAAACCAGCUUUGGUGAUUUUUUAUCUGUACAUACUUAAUACGCGUAGUGUUAAACUUUUCAAAAUUAUCCAAACUCAGCAAUUCAUAACUUUGUUCAAGCAAAUCGUGGAGAGAUCAACGAGACGUCGAAAUGUUCAGGAUGAGUUUGCCAAUCAAAAUAAAAAUGAUACCACUGGACAAAAUGACUUGGAGUAGCAGAAAAGUGAGCUUUUUGUAAACAGUCGUGACCUUUGACCAUUUCCAAAAACUGGAACGUCAUCCAGUCACAACCUACUACUCAGAAUAUUUUUAAAAUUUUAUCUCAACAAAUAUGAGAGAUAGAAGAAUUUUGUAGUAAGGACUGUUGCAAUACUUACGGUGUGGGUGGAGUUGUGACGAUGACGCAAGGUGUCCAACUUUCAUGAUCACAAACAAGCAGAUCUUGAUUCCACACCGUGCUAGGAGGACAACAUUGCACGAUCGGGUAGCCAUUAGUACACACUAUGAACUUGCGGCAGUCGUAGGGGAAUGGCAAGUAAGUGGGAACACCCUCCUCCCAAGAAGGGCAGUCAGUCAACUACGAAAAUACACAUAAAUAUAUAUAUAUAUAAUCAGUAA